UGCAAGUCGAGGGAUAGUUUCAGCAAUGGGACGAAAACCAGCGCACGGGUGAGUAACGCGUAUGCAACCUGCCCUUUACCGGGGGAUAGCCCGUCGAAAGGCGGAUUAAUACCCCAUAACAUCAUCGUCCUGCAUGGGGUGAUGAUUAAAGCUUCGGUGGUAAAGGAUGGGCAUGCGUGACAUUAGCUGGUUGGUAGGGUAACGGCCUACCAAGGCAACGAUGUCUAGGGGUUCUGAGAGGAAGGUCCCCCACACUGGUACUGAGACACGGACCAGACUCCUACGGGAGGCAGCAGUGAGGAAUAUUGGUCAAUGGGCGAGAGCCUGAACCAGCCAUCCCGCGUGCAGGAAGAAGGCCCUAUGGGUUGUAAACUGCUUUUGUGCAUGAAGAACACCCCCGACGUGCUCGGGGGCUGACGGUAAUGCGUGAAUAAGCACCGGCUAACUCCGUGCCAGCAGCCGCGGUAAUACGGAGGGUGCAAGCGUUAUCCGGAUUUAUUGGGUUUAAAGGGUGCGUAGGCGGCCUUUUAAGUCAGUGGUGAAAACCUACGGCUCAACCGUAGGCGUGCCAUUG
rnacentral:rRNA from 1 species